AAACUACACAGAAUUGAAAUAAAAUAAAAUAAAAUAACUAGAGGUAUUUCAGCUUAAUAGCUUUAAUUUAAGCUUAACUUUAGCUGCCUGGAGUGCCCCUUUAAUGUGAGAAUUCUAGGUGAAUCCAAAGUGAACUACACAUUUAAGGUCAAAAUAGCCCAAACUGGAAAAAUUCAGCUAUGCUUUCCGUUUGGUUACUCUGAUUUUAAAUUUGAAAUUCAUGUUGAAUUCUCACUUUAGUAACUAACCUAACUAAAUCUAAAAAUGAAGUUUGGGUAUUGUACACAAUACAUGUGAGGAGGUGAGGGGUUGAUGUUAUGCUGAGGUGUGAUUCCCAUUAUUUUUGUAUUUUUAUGGAUUUAUAAUAAAGUGAAUUUCAUAUGGAUUUGAAUGAUGCUAUUUUAUAAACUAUGCUGUGAACAGAGGAGUCUUUCAGAAAUUUUACAAAUGUACAUGAUUGCAAAAUGUGGAUCACGUAAAUGAAUCUAUAAUCUGUAACCAGUACAUUUAUGCAGUGGGGGUCUGUAUUAUGUUUCCUUUCUUUUUAGUCUAUUAAGUAUUCAAGAAAUGAAAGCCACUUUAAAAUCAUGUUUCAAAUCUAAAUGAUACACUGCAAUAGAGAUAUACUCUGGGAAAAUAAAUAUCAGAAUUCAUCAUACCACUUUUGGCACCAUAACUCUUAAUAUUAUUAAAGAUGUUGUAAUGCACACAAACUGUCUCUGUAAUCUCAGCUAUUACAAAUGCAAUUUUUUUCUCUCG